rnacentral:rRNA from 1 species
GACGAACGCUGGCGGCGUGCCUAAUACAUGCAAGUAGAACGCUGAGGUUUGGUGUUUACACUAGACUGAUGAGUUGCGAACGGGUGAGUAACGCGUAGGUAACCUGCCUCAUAGCGGGGGAUAACUAUUGGAAACGAUAGCUAAUACCGCAUAAGAGUAAUUAACACAUGUUAGUUAUUUAAAAGGAGCAAUUGCUUCACUGUGAGAUGGACCUGCGUUGUAUUAGCUAGUUGGUGAGGUAAAGGCUCACCAAGGCGACGAUACAUAGCCGACCUGAGAGGGUGAUCGGCCACACUGGGACUGAGACACGGCCCAGACUCCUACGGGAGGCAGCAGUAGGGAAUCUUCGGCAAUGGACGGAAGUCUGACCGAGCAACGCCGCGUGAGUGAAGAAGGUUUUCGGAUCGUAAAGCUCUGUUGUUAGAGAAGAACGUUGGUAGGAGUGGAAAAUCUACCAAGUGACGGUAACUAACCAGAAAGGGACGGCUAACUACGUGCCAGCAGCCGCGGUAAUACGUAGGUCCCGAGCGUUGUCCGGAUUUAUUGGGCGUAAAGCGAGCACAGGCGGUUCUUUAAGUCUGAAGUUAAAGGCAGUGGCUUAACCAUUGUACGCUUUGGAAACUGGAGGACUUGAGUGCAGAAGGGGAGAGUGGAAUUCCAUGUGUAGCGGUGAAAUGCGUAGAUAUAUGGAGGAACACCGGUGGCGAAAGCGGCUCUCUGGUCUGUAACUGACGCUGAGGCUCGAAAGCGUGGGGAGCAAACAGG